UUCAGAGACUCAACCCUCUUCAACAUGAACAAAACUCUGGUCUGUGCUGUCUUCAUCCUGCUGGUGCUUUCUGUGUUCAUAGAGGCCAAGGUGGGCAUAGAGGCCAAGAAUAAUGGAACCAAAACCUCAAACAAGGCAUCAGGGGCAAGCACCCUGACUCUUCCGUUUCUGCUGCAGUUGGGACUGAUGGUUGCACCUGCCUUACUUCAAACUCUGCUGUAGCACUUGCUAUGCUCUCAUUGCACAAGACUCUGCAGAACUUCUGCAACAAUGGUCGCCGCAACUUAACAAUAGCUUCAAUGACUAGGCCUACUAUAUUUACCUGUACUGUAUUGUAGACCUAGCUGACCCAUUUCCAUGAUUGAACACCAUGAAAGACUUAACCCAAAUGAUCUUGUAAUACUCAUACGGAUACAGAAAUAAAGUUGUGUAUAUAUA